GACGAACGCUGGCGGCGUGCUUAACACAUGCCAGUCGAACGGAAAGGCCCUGCUUGCAGGGUACUCGAGUGGCGAACGGGUGAGUAACACGUGGGUGAUCUGCCCUGCACUUCGGGAUAAGCCUGGGAAACUGGGUCUAAUACCGGAUAGGAGCCAUUUUUAGUGUGAUGGUUGGAAAGUUUUUUCGGUGUAGGAUGAGCUCGCGGCCUAUCAGCUUGUUGGUGGGGUAAUGGCCUACCAAGGCGGCGACGGGUAGCCGGCCUGAGAGGGUGGACGGCCACAUUGGGACUGAGAUACGGCCCAGACUCCUACGGGAGGCAGCAGUGGGGAAUAUUGAACAAUGGGCGCAAGCCUGAUGCAGCGACGCCGCGUGGGGGAUGACGGCCUUCGGGUUGUAAACUCCUUUCGCUAGGGACGAAGCUUUUUGUGACGGUACCUAGAUAAGAAGCACCGGCUAACUACGUG
rnacentral:rRNA from 1 species